AACGAACGCUGGCGGCAGGCCUAACACAUGCAAGUCGAACGCCGUAGCAAUACGGAGUGGCAGACGGGUGAGUAACGCGUGGGAACAUACCCCUCGGUUCGGAAUAACUUAGGGAAACUUGAGCUAAUACCGGAUACGUCCGAGGUUUUAACCGGCCUCGGAGAAAGAUUUAUCGCCGGAGGAUUGGCCCGCGUCUGAUUAGCUUGUUGGUGAGGUAAUGGCUCACCAAGGCGACGAUCAGUAGCNGGUCUGAGAGGAUGAUCAGCCACAUUGGGACUGAGACACGGCCCAAACUCCUACGGGAGGCAGCAGUGGGGAAUAUUGGACAAUGGGCGAAAGCCUGAUCCAGCCAUGCCGCGUGAGUGAUGAAGGCCUUAGGGUUGUAAAGCUCUUUUACCCGGGAAGAUAAUGACGGUACCGGAGAAUAAGCCCCCGGCUAACUUCGUGCCAGCA
rnacentral:rRNA from 1 species